AACGAACGUUAGCGGCGCGCCUAACACAUGCAAGUCGAGCGAGAAAGGGCUUCGGCCCCGGUAAAGCGGCGCACGGGUGAGUAACACGUGGGUAACCUGCCCUCGGGUUGGGGAUAACAUUCCGAAAGGAGUGCUAAUACCGAAUAAGACCACGACCUCGAAAGAGGAUGCGGUCAAAGCUGGCCUCUAUACAUAAGCUAGCGCCUGAGGAUGGGCCCGCGGCGCAUCAUGGUAGUUGGUGAGGUAACGGCUCACCAAGCCGAAGACGCGUAGCUGGUCUGAGAGGAUGAUCAGCCACACUGGAACUGAGACACGGUCCAGACUCCUACGGGAGGCAGCAGUGGGGAAUCUUGCGCAAUGGGCGAAAGCCUGACGCAGCGACGCCGCGUGAGUGAUGAAGGCCUCGGU
rnacentral:rRNA from 1 species